UCCGAACUUAAAUAUCAUACUCAACAGUCGUAAAUACAACCUACUCCAAAAUACGACUUAAAUCCAACGGCCGGAUUCUACAUUAAUUACCCGCCAAAAAUACCACACUUCGGAAAUUCAUAAACCUAUCCAAAACUCAUCCAAAAAUUCCAUAACUCACUUCAAUAAACUCCCCUUAAUAUUCCAAAUUUAACAACAUUAAAAUCUCCCAACCGGCGGCGGCUCCGCCGGCAGCGGCGGCCGGAGGUCAAUUCCGGCGACCUCCAAAACCUAUGAAAUUUUAACAGCAUCUUCCUCUCAUCAAGCUCUACAACUUUCAUAACUAGCACAAACACCAAUUCCAAGCCUAACUAGGGCAAUCGACUAAAAACAUCAAAAACACCAUAAAACUUCCACCUCAAAUUUCUCCUUACCUAGCUCAAGAGGGAGUGAGUCCUUUUAGGGCAAGGUUGCUGGGUUGGAGGGCUACAAAACCAUACCAAGCUUGCCCGGAUUGGUGGCCGGAGGAGGAAGUUCCGGCGAAGGGAAGCUCGGGGCAGCCCUUGCUUUCGGGCGGCACCGCUCUCUCACGGCGGCGCUAGGGCUCCUCUCACCGGUCUAGAAAUGAUGCUGGGAGGGAGACCAACCGAACGGGACCGGUCCGGCGGCGAACGGAGGUCGGACGGAGGCGGGAGGACGGCCGGAAUUCUGCUGGGUGUAGAGAGGGGAAAACCGGGUGAGAAGAGAAGAAAAAUCGGGAGGGAGGGAGAAGAGAAAGAAGAAGAAAUGGGUUGGGCUCGGCCCAGCCGACCCAACACCCCUUUUAACCCAUAAUUCCAAAAUUCAACACCCCGAAAAAUAAUACCCGAAUAAAAAUUACCGUUUACUAGCUAAAAUUUACUAUUUUUACCGUCGCCGUAUAAUCCCCAUACGAAUUAUCCUCCGCACAUAAUCGUCCCCGAAACCCCUCUAGGGACCAAUUAAACUAUUUACUCAAUGAUCGAGACGGUAAAAUUCUUAUUAUAAUCACGCUAGUAAAUAAGGUAAAAAUAUAAGGGUCGGGAUGUGACAGUGCGAAUUUUCACUUUAGACUCACUUUUCAAUCGAAUUUUCACAUCUUCACCGUCUAGUCUUUAGAUACUAAUGUAUAGAUCAUCUCUACAAAAUUUCAACUAAUUUGGUUAUCCACACCGUAAGAAUAAAUAAGGACCUCCUUAGCCAAAAAAACAUGUAUAUAUAUAUAUACACGGAGCCAUUCCAAAGAGUGCGGACGUCCCUUCGUUCUCCACCGGACAGCUCCAAUGACGGUGCGCCUCCAUCCGAGCGGACACCAGCGGCGUCCCCGAUCAUUUUCUCUUCCCGGCGAGAUCGAUUUGAAGGUCUGGGCAGCAACCUCCACCCAAAACUUCAGACAAGAUCGAUCUCAUCAAAAAACUGGGAUUCGACGGACUUGUCAGGGAGAGAAAAUGAUCGGGGACGCCUCUGGUGUCCGCUCGGGUGGAGGUGCGCCGUCGUCAGCGCCGGACGGUGGAGAACGGAGGGACGUUCGCACUACCUCUGAUCCAGACUAUAUACAUAUACACACACACACACACACACUGCUAGAAUAAAGGACUUAGGUGACAAACAGGUUUCGUCGCCUAAGUUCUCAGCAUGGACCCCUAAGAACUUAGGUGACGAAUACAAAAUAAUGGUCGUCUAAAUGGAUACUUAGGCAACUAUUUAAUCAUCAUUGCAUAAGUCGAAGGUGAGGAACAUUGACACAUUUAGGCGUCGAAAUUAUUGUCGCCAACAAUUGGUGGCGAAAGAAAAUUAUAGUCGCCUUAGUUUCCUUUUACGUGACCAUUUAUUAAUCGUCGCUAUGUUUAACGCGAGGAUCCAACCCCGGCGACAGUUUCUCAUUUUUCGCCGCAUAAGACUUAAUUCAACAUUUUAUAUAUAUGCUUUUAAAUUAUAAUUAUAUAUUAUUAAAAAUCUAAUUAUCUCACUGAUAUGCACACAGUAAUUAUGUGUGCAUAUUUUCAAGUUUAUAUUCAAAGUUAAAAACCUGUGGUGCAAAUCAAAAUCAAAACAAAAGAAGUUCAAACUCAAAAAGUAGUACUAAACUUCCAUGAGGUAUAUAUACACAAAUAAAAAAGCAAGUUCAAAGUUCAUAGUUUAAACCCUCCCUAAUACCCUAGCCUCUUAUAGUCCUAUAUAGACAAUGUUUAACAAAAGAAGAGGCAAAUAUCAAGGGUUCCACAAAAACAAAAAACCAUGGACCUAGCUUCAACCAUUAACCUCAAGUUGUUGGCCUUCUUGUCCGCUCGGCUGCGACUACACAUACUUCUCCAACAUCUGUAUACGGCGCUCAUAAUCAAGGAUCUUCUCCUGAGCUACUCUAGUCUGCUCCCGGACUGCUUGUGCCUCCUCUUGAGCAUGCCGUGCCUCCUCUUGGACUUGUCGGGCGUGCUCCCGAACCUCCUCAAGAACUAUAUCAUUGGGACGAGAACGCCUUGUUGCUCUUUCCUUGCCCUCAAUUUCAACUCUCUCAAGCCCCUUUAUUCCCCCUCCCCCCCCCCCCCUCGAUUCCAAGGACCUUCUCAAAUGCGUCAAGCUGAGAUUUGAGGUCUACUUGUUGAAGGAGCUUAUCCUCUGGAGUGUCCGGUUGUUGUUCACUUAGCAUUGUAAGGAUCUUCUGUCUUAUAUCAUUCUGCAAUGACAGAAAACAAACUUAACAACACAGCAAAACACACAACAAUUCAGCGAAACACAGCAAAACACAACAAUUUCAUAAAAACAACUAUGGAAGGAAUUAAUAGACAUGCUGCAUUUAAUGAAACAUAUGAUACAUGCUACACACUUAGCAACACACAUCAACACAGCAACACUUGGCUGAAACAUAUAUAUGGGAUUUCAUCAACUCACAACAACACUUGGAUGUUGCAAAACACAACAACAUAUAAACACAAAGCAACACACAACAACAAUAACUGAAAGGAAGUGUCCAAUACAAUAAGUGUUAUAUAAAUGAAGUAAAAGAAUAAACAAACACAUAAAAGAACACUUACAGCUUUUUCAGGAACAAUCUCGUUAUGUGGGGCGUCGUACGCUACCUCAAAACCAUUGAUAAGGUAUAAUGAUUCACUCUCGCGCCUAAGUUUGUUUGCAUUGUAUAUGAAAGGUGUACACCCGGCGUGGUGAUGUAUGGUUAAUUUUUCUCAGUUUGCCAAGUUUGCAGCUGAGAGUUUCUGUUAAAAAAACAUAAAGAAAAGUUACUGCUUCACAUUGCAUCACAUAAGCUCAUAUAUAGGUAUAUGAUUUGAUUCAAUUCAUCAUUUUCCAAAACAAAAGUGAAAUCAAAUACUACACUAACCAUAGUGGUUUAAAUUUAAACUAACUAAAUUACAGAUUGUACUUGAAACUGAGGUGACAAAAAGUGUUGCUUAAGCCAAUUCCACUCAUCCAUCCUUCCUCCUUGCACAAACUCUUUCGGAGCCUUUUCCCCUUUGUAAUGCUUAAAAAACUUGUGGAGCUUAGCCUUCCAAGAAGUGUAUGUCUUGUUCGCCACCUUCAUUAACCAGUCAUACAUCUUUUGGUUAUAUUCGAUUUCAUAGCAAAUCUACCAAAAAUUAAAAGAGUAAUGAAAGCAGUAACUUGUCUGAUCAAAAUAUAGAAUAAUCAAAAUAACCGAUCAUUAUGGAAGCACAUGCCUACACAACCAGAUUCUGGAGUAAAUACAAAUGCAAAAGUAAGCUGAUGAUUAAAAACAAAAUUCCAGAUUGUAGUAUCAUUAGUCUGCCAAAGAAAAGCUGAAAAAUUAUGACCUUUUAAGUUUUUUUUUUUUUUUUUUUUUUUUCUUGAACUCAGAGUAAAACAUGUUGCAAAAGGAACCUUAUACAAAUUCCAUCUAAACUUACCGAUAGUCCAGUACAUAGCUUCAGCCUCUCCUCUUCCUUAACUCCCACCAAGUUGGUUGGUUCAUUGCCACAGAGUUACGGAUCACUCUACCAAUAUCCUUAGUAAGCAAACUGUUCAGCUCUUUAGUCUAGCGUCCAUGGACGGAAUCGUUAUACUUAACUUCAAUAUUCUUCUCCGUUCGGCGGACAAUCUCUUCGGCUUUUAAGCUUUUUAUCAACCCUUUAGCCCUUUUCUUGGGUGGAUCUACCACGCACCGACAAAACAACACAUCACUAUUCUCAUAAAAGUGCCAAAAACAAUUAUAAAAUAACAGGGGGAGGAUCGGCAGUCCUGAUUAUUGGGGGAGCCAGAGUAGAUAACGAUUCCAAGGGAGGAGCAGCCAUAGUUGGUGGAUUGGCCGGCCUUGGUCCAAGUCACUGAACAGCCUGCUCAUAGCAACGUUUAAAGGCCUCCUGCCUUGACUUCCUCUUAAUGAGCUGCGGCAUAUGGUUCCUAGCCAAAUGAGAUCAAAUUUACAUGGUAUCAAAAAUUUAAACAAGGCCUGCAUUGUAUUAGAACUUGACUUAAAACAAAGUGUCACAUCCCGACCUUUAAAUUUUUACUUUUUUACUAGCUUAGUUAUAAUAAGAAUUUUACCGUCUCCGUCAUUGAGAUUAUAAUUCAAUUGGUCCCUAGAGGGGUUUGGGGGACGGUUAUUUUCGGAGGAUUUUUCGUCGGAGAAAAAUGUGACGACGGUAAAAAUAGUAAAUUUUAGCUAGUAAAAGAUAAAUUUUAUUACGGUAUUUUGUUUUGGGGUGUUAAAUUGGUGGAGUUGGGUUUAAUUGUGGUGUUGGACCGGGUUGGUGUGAGGCCCAAACACCAUUUCCCCCUCUCUUUUUCUUCUCUUCCUCUUCUCUUUUUCUUCUCUUCCUCCCGACCUCUCUCCCAACCUCUCCCGUUGUCGAAUCCUCGAGCCAUCGCCUGCCGCCGUCCGGCCAGCCACCGACCGCCGCUCCAGCCCAGUUCGGAGCCCCGCCACCUCCUCUCUCUUCCCGGCCUAGUGUCCCCUCCGGUAACGCCGUCGAUUGGAAGAUUUUCCACCGGAGACGCUGGACUGUCUCUCGCCGAAGCUCCCUCCUCCUGCCGCCAUAGCCGGCAAUUCUUGGCUCGUUGUGAAGCUCUCCUCCCGUGCAGCAAUCCCUCCAAAGGGCUCGCCCUCUCGUGGUCUAGGUAAGGAAAACCGGUGAGUGGAAGCUCUAGGGUUUUCUAGUGUGUUUUCAUUCGAUUGACCUAGUUAGGCUUGGAAUUGGGUGUUGUGCCAGUUAAGGAAGUUGUAGAGGGAGUUGAGAGGAAUAUUCUGUUUAUAUUUGGUGGGCAUUGGAGGUCGCCGGAAUCAGCCUCCGGCCGCCGCCGCCGCCGCUAUUUGGGAGUUUUGUAUGGCUUUAAAUGUGGAAUAUAAAGAGGAGUUUAUUGAUGUGAAUUAUGAAAUUUUCGGAUGAGUUUUGUAUAUGUUUGUGAAUUUCUGAAGUUUGGUGAUUUUGGCGGUUGAAUAAUGUAGAAUCCGGCCGUAAGAUUUAAGUCAAUUUCUGGGGGAGGUUGUAUUUACGACUACCGAGUAUGGUAUUAAACUUUGGGUCGUUUCGAGUGAAGAAUAUCGAAGUUAGGCAAUGAUGAGCGUGUUUAUGGCUCUCGGUUAAUUUUGCCUAUUUUGUAUAAAUUUUGGAUUUUUAGUUGGGAAAUUAAUUAUAUAUUUGUGCCAGGGUUCGAGGAAACCUCACUGGAGUGGCGAUUUAGAUUUCGUCAGGCUUAUGCCUAGAGUUGUGAGUGGACCUUUGUUUUAAUUGAAAAGCAUGCGAUGAGUUAUUUUGUUGAUCAUUUGUUUCUUCUGAUGAGACUUAUUGAUUUCUCGGUUAUUUGACAAUUUUUCCUCCUUUGGAGAGUUCCCGAAAAUGAGAUUUUCGGUGGAUAUGUUUAUUGGAUGUUAUGAGUAUAGUAUGUAUAUAAAUGCUAGCUAGCCAUACGUGCUUGGUCCGUCAUAAUGAGGUAAAAUACCAUUAUGGUGUGACGUGAGUGUUAGACACAAGCGUCAUAACCCUAUAUGAAAACUACGUUCUUUUCUGGUUUAUUUAGGUUUUUAUAUAGGGAGUCCACACGUAUAUAUACACCAUCCUCUUCCGUCAUAAUGAGGAAAAAUUCCAUUAUGGCGCGAAGUGAGCGUUAGACGCAAGCGUCGUAGCCUUGUAUGAGUUUCUAUUCUUCUAAGUUGUUCAUAGAAUUCAUACAAGGAGUCUGACGAGUGUAAAUACAUACACGUAUAUGUUUAUCUAUAGUUUAGCCUGAGAGGCUCCAUUUUAUUUGAGUUGGUGACUAGCCGGAGCUAGUCGUGAAAUUGCCAAUUUAUGAGUUGAGCGUUUUUGAGCGAACGCAUGCAGUAUAAUUUCUUUGGAAAUUAAAAUGGGAAUGCAUAAAUAUUUUUUUAUUAAUUUAUUUUUGUCCACUCACUCUAACGUUUUCAAAUGUUUUCCCCUGGGCCUUUCGUUUUAAAAAUGCCCAGCUUGCAGGUUAGCUUAGUUGAGGUCGGGCGUGCAUGGAGAUGAGGCAUAGUCAUCAUAUAGCUUCCGCUUGUUAAUUUAUUAUAUUUCAUUUCUUCCUAUUAGAGUUGCUCUGAACCUAUAAAGGGUUGGAUUUGAGAUUUGAGAUUUGUUUAGAUUAGUAAUUAAUUUGGGUGGUGUUGUGAUUUGGGGAGUACGAAGGCUCCAGGAGUUUAAGGUUGGAUUUAAAUUUUCAGAAGUGUUUACAGUUUUAUUAGGAAGGGUUGUCCAUUUUCAAGGGAGGUUAUGCCGAAUUUUUGGUAAACUUUCUUUGGAGGUGGCCCCCGCAAGAUUUACUUCGGGUUUCAGGGUGAAAUUCGGGGUGGGUCCUGACAGUUGGUAUCAUAACACUAGGUUAUUCGAUUCCUUUCUCUUUUUAGUACUACCUCAUAUUAUUGGUCAUACUUAGUGUCUAUAGAGUAAUGGUCCGACCGCUGCGGAUCUAUUACCAUUAUAUGCUUUAGACACUAUGUGUUGAUUAAGUUUAUGAUGUAGUUGUUCUUAUCUUGUUUAUGGACAGUAUUGUAUCAUAAAUGUCUAUAUCUCUAAGACUAUGCCUCCGUACGCCGACCUCUUAAGUAAAUCUUUAUGCUUUGAGUAAUGAAAAGGUGUAUGGAUCACGCCUUUUCCAAGGUUAUCAAGUUGAUAUCAUAAAUUGUUAGAGUUCAAUUGCGUGGCAGCAUUCCUUUCAUGUGAUCAAUGAUUAUUUGGGUUAUGAUUAAGAUGCUAGGGUGAGCAUCUCGUGCGAAGGUGUAGAAGGUGAAAAGUUUAAUUCAAGCCUUGGAGUUCACUAAUUAUAGUGGGCAAGUGUGAAGUUGUUGUAGUCCGAUAGAAAAAUCUUGGCUUCGAGUUAUGUGACUUCUGGGAGAAAAUAGUUGGAAAGAAAGUUCGAAGUAGUGGUGUUUUCUUUUGAUGUUAAAGUUAGUUGAAGUGUUAUGGUGGGUACCUAUAGUAACUCUUGGAGGUACCUUUCUGAGUUGUUGCGGACCCUAAGCUUAAGCGAUUUAGUCACGUGGGAUUUGUGGCUAGUGUUUGGGUGGUAAGGCAUUGCUACAUAAAGAGAUAAAUGUCAAUUUAGAUAAGUCAUGGUUGAAGGCUAAUUUGCCGACUAUGUUUAUCCGCAGUAAAAAGCAGUUGGGAACAUUUUGGGAAAAUGCUGGUUAUGUCAGCACAUAUUCUGGUUCCUAUAACUCUAAUUAUGGAUAAGUUUUUAUCUUUUGAGCAAUUUAUUAAGAUGGUGGUGGUAAUAUCUUUUAGGAAUGACGGAUAAUAGUAGUCAAUGAAUAGUAAGAUUUCUGAUUAUUUUGGUCUCUAUUGUGGGUUAGUUGAAGUUUGUUAAAGCGCUAAGUGUAAUGACUUGGAUUGCUUUUCCUUGGGUUAGUUUUACAAAAGUCAUUGGUUAGUGCGUUGUGACAACUUCUUGUUGUGCCAUAGUCGGGAAAUUUUAGAAAUUGAAUGGUGGCACUAAAUGUUUUGAGUUUCAAGCAAGUUUGGAAUCAUGGAGUGAGAUGUCAGUUGUAUUAUUUUAAUCGUGGAGCCAUUAUGGAUUCUUUCAGAAUUCUAGGUGUUGAAGUUCGGUUUCUAGAUUUGUUGAGUGUUUGGGAAAUUGCAGCUUUUGUGAGUAGGUGUCAAAUUUGUCAGCAAGUAAAAGCUGAAAGGCAGAAGCCUUCUGGAUUGCUUGAGCCGUUGCCUAUUCCAGUGUGGAAGUGGAACCACAUCACCAUGGAUUUUGUUUUCAGUUUACCUCGUACCCGUGAAGGGCAUGACGGUAUUUGGGUGAUUUUGGAUAGACUCACCAAGUCUGCACAUUUCUUGCCAGUAGGAAAAAAGUUCAAAUUGGAGAAGACCCACCACUGUGACGGAGAUCCGUAGUUUCUUGGGAUUAGCAGGUUAUUAUCGGCGCUUUGUGAAAGAUUUUUUCAAAGAUUGUUGCUCCUCUUACAAAAUUGACCAAGAAGGGGGUUAAGUUGAAUGGUCAGAUCAAUGUGAGCAAGAGUGCAUGGGUGUCCAAAGUAAUUUUUAAGCAGUGUCGUUCCGGGUGGUUGAUUUAAGUCUUGAAUUUGUGAUCGAAGUUGGUUAUUGACAUCACUUCGUUCGCAAUGGGUGACUAACUACGACACAACAAUGGGAGAAUCUGUUCUCACCUUAUUUUUAAUUUGGUGAUGUGGAUCAGAGUUUUAGUUGUGGUGUUUUGGAAGUAUAUAAAUUAUUCCUACUGUAGUUUUUGGAUAGCAUCCUCAGAGCUUGAAAUUUUGGAAUGCGAAUUCAACGCUUCGAUUUGAAGGGUAAAGAUUCUGGUUAUUUUGUCGAAGUUUUGAGGUAAAUGAUAAAUUGGUAGUUGUGUCGUAGUCAUGGAUCUGGAAUAAAUCCAGUGGUGAUCCCAAGUGAGCUGGAGUUCAUUUAAGCGAUGAAUCUUGGUGCCGUAAAUCCUAUGUGGUAGUUUGAGAGUUGAAUGGUGAUGUUGAUUUUAUGGUUUGUGUGUCGUUGUGGGUGUGAUUUAUGUUGUAGCUUUAGGGAAGGAGGUUUCCCCUUGUUGACUCAAGAAGCUUUUCGAGUCAAAGUUUAUUAAGAGAUUUAAUAUGGCGAAUAGUAGAUUGAUGGAUAGGUUGAUCAACGUCUCUUCUCGGGAUCGUAUUGUGGUGGGACCACUCAUUGAUCCAAGUUUGAUUUGGGAGGUCUUCGUUUUUUUUGGUUGUGCGUUCAUCCAUUUGGUGUUGGGAUGAUUAGUUGAGGUUUCUAGUGUGAUUUUCGAAACGGGUUCUGGCAGAUAUCGGAGAUCUGUGGAGCUUUUGAGCUCGAAGUUAGAGGACUUGCCCAUUUCGUAUGCUUUAAGUUAUUUCUUUUGGAACUAGAACUGAGUUUAGCCAUGAGUUUUGAUUCUUGCUUGAAUUCAUGGUUUUCGUUGGUUGGUGAACCACAAAGUGUAGUAGUGGGUCUUGUAUAAAAAAUUUAUCUUUGCAUUUGAUAGUUGCAUGAUACUGCAAGCUCGAUUAUCAAAGAAUCUUUUUGAUGGGAAGCCGUGGCCCUGGGAGGUGUAGGAGACAUGAGCGAAUCUGAUUUUCAGAUCGUCUUCUGCUAUCAGAUUAAUCGUUAUUAGAGGUAGAAAAAAGUGUGUUUGUCGGGUCCAAAGGUUUUGGCGUUUAGAAUCAUUCUUGUGGAAUGGCUAGAGUGAGCCGUGUGCUUUUAAUUGUUGCAUUUAGGGUCGCGGUUCCUACCGAUUAAGUAACAUGGCUGGAGAUGUAAAUUUUGUCAAUGCUUAAAGAAGGUGUUCUAUUUACGUGGAUUUCAAUGCCAAGUUUUGCAUCACGAAUUGACUGUGCCAAUUUUGGUGGGCAUUGUUAAUCAGUUUUGUUUAUGGCGAGCAUGAGGGAAUAUCCAAUUUUCACAUCAUAGUCAUGUUUCAGAUUAUCUUCUGGUCUGUGGUAAAGAGAAUAGUGGAGAUAGCAGAAUCAGGAGAGAGUUGGAAUUCCCAUAAGUUGCUAGUUUGUGGUGCAUAAAAUGGUAAUGUAAUAGUUUUGGUGGAGACACCUAAGUGACGUGGUAUUGAUCUUUUCAUAAUGUCAUUUCGAGAAUCGAGGUUAUCAUAUGUUGGUGGACUGGUCCCUUAGGCAGAGCAAGGUUGUCUUGUGGACUUGCGAGAGCUUUGAUUCCGCGAAAUACUCUACGAAGUGUCUCGGUAAUAGAAAUGAUUGUUGCAGUUCUGCAGUGUGUGCAUCCUUAAAUCUGUUCAAUUAGCGAGUCUUAAUUUUGACCCCUAUGAGCAUGUGGGAAUGUGUGAACUUUAGUUUCCUAGCAGGUGGGCUUCAUCGUCGAGUUUGUGAGCAACGUAUUGACGAGGUUGUUAUGCGACGUUAGGAGAUUUUAGCCCGAUGGUGAUAGCAAAUGUAUGCGCUUUAUUUGGGUUAACUAUUUCCAUUGCUUAGGAAAGAGUGUGCAUACCUACGGGUACUCGUACUCUGGAACAGGUAUCACUGAACUCACUUACGUGUAAACGUUAGUGGUAGUUCAACGAAGGAUUUAGAGUCUUCGAGAAGAUUUAAAAUAAUUCAGGAUUCAAAUGAGAAUAUUAAAGUGGUUAGAGAUAGACUCAAGGCCGCUCAAAUUAAGCAGAAGAGUUAUGCAGAUGUCCGUAGGAAAGACCUUGAAUUUUAGGUGGGUGAUUGGGUGUUCUUGAAACUAUCUCCUUGAAAAGGGGUAGUACGUUUUGGUAAGCAUGGGAAGCUUAGUCCAAGGUAUAUUGGCCCAUAUGGGAUAAUAGAGCGAGUUGGCUCACUUGCUUAUCGGUUAGCUUUGCCCCAGAAUUAGCCAGGAUACAUAAUGUGUUUCAUGUAUCCAUGCUUCGCAAGUUUAGUGCCGAUCCCUCUCAUGUGUUGCAAGAGCAGCCGAUCAGUUUGACGAAAGAUUUGACCUAUGAAGAGGAACCGGUUCAGAUUCUUGACCGAAAGGAGCAAGUGCUUAGGAACAAGACAAUCCACUUCUCAAGGUGGUUUGGAGAAGUCAUCAAGUAGAAGAAGCUACUUUGGGAAUCAGAAAAGCAAAUGAUGCAACAGUAUCCCUAUCUCUUCGAAUGACAGGUAUGUAAAUUUCGAGGAUGAAAUUUUUAUAAGGAGGGGAGAAUUGUCACAUCCCGACCCUUAAAUUUUUACCUUAUUUACCACCUUAGUUAUAAUAAGAAUUUUACCGUCUCCGUCAUUGAGGUUAUAAUUCAAUUGGUCCCUAGAGGGGUUUGAGCGACGACUGUAAAAAUGGUAAAUUUGACAGUAAAAAUGGUAAAUUUUAGCUAAUAAAAGGUAAAUUUUAUUACGGUAUUUUGUUUUGGGGUGUUAAAUUGGUGGAGUUGGGUUUAAUUGUGGUGUUGGACCGGGUUGGUGUGAGGCCCAAACACAAUUUCCCCCUCUCUUUUUCUUCUCUUCCUCUUCUCUUUUUCUUCCCUUCCUCCCGACCUCUCCCGCUGCCGGAUCCUCCAGCCAUCGCCGGCCGCCGUCCGGCCAGCCACCGGCCGCCGCUCCAGCCCAGUUCGGAGCCCCGCCACCUCCUCUAUCUUCCCGUCCUAGUGUCCCCGCCGCUAACGCCAUCGAUUGGGAGAUUUUCCAUCGGAGACGCCGGACUGUCUCUCGCCGAAGCUCCCUCCUCCGGCCGCUAUAGCCGGCGAUUCUUGGCUUGUUGUGAAGCUCUCCUCCCGUGCAGCAAUCCCUCCAAAGGGCUCGCCUUCUCGUGGUCUAGGUAAGGAGAACCGGUGAGUGAAAGCUCUAGGGUUUUCUAGUGUGUUUUCAUUCGAUUGACCUAGUUAGGCUCGGAAUUGGGUGUUGUGCUAGUUAAGGAAGUUGUAGAGGGAGUUGAGGGGAAGAUUCUGUUUAAAUUUGGUAGGCAUUGGAGGUCGCCGGAGUCGGCCUCCGGCCGCCACUAUUUGAGAGUUUUGUAUGGUUUUAAAUGUGGAAUAUUAAGGGGAGUUUAUUGAUGUGAAUUAUGGAAUUUUCGAAUGAGUUUUGUAUAGGUUUGUGAAUUUCCAAAGUUUGGUAUUUUUGGCGGUUGAAUAAUGUAGAAUCCAGCCAUAGGAUUUAAGUCAAUUUCUGCGGGAGGUUGUAUUUACGGCUGCCGAGUAUGGUAUUAAAGUUUGGGUCGUUUCGAGUGAAGAAUAUCGAAGUUAGGCAAUGAUGAGCAUAUUUAUAGCUCUCGGUUAAUUUUGCCUAUUUUGUAUAAAUAUUGGAUUUUUAGUUGGGAAAUUAAUUAUAUAUUUGUGCCAGGGUUCGAGGAAACCUCACUGGAGUGGCGAUUUGGAUUUCGUCGGGCUUAUGCCUAGAGUUGUGAGUGGACCUUUGUUUUAAUUGAAAAGCAUGCGAUGAAUUAUUUUGUUGAUCAUUUGUUUCUUCUAAUGAGACUUAUUGAUUUCUCGGUUAUUUGGCAAUUUUUCCUCCUUUGGAGAGUUCCCGAAAAUGAGAUUUUCGGUGGAUAUGUUUAUUGGAUGUUAUGAGUAUAGUAUGUAUAUAAAUGCUAGGUAACCAUAUGUGCUUGGUCCGUCAUAAUGAGGUAAAAUACCAUUAUGGCGUGACGUGAGUGUUAGACACAAGUGUCAUAGCCCUAUAUGAAAGCUACAUUCUUUUCUGGUUUAUUUUGGUUUUCAUAUAGGGAGUCCACACGUAUAUAUACACCGUCCUCUUCGGUCAUAAUGAGGAAAAAUUCCAUUAUGGCGCGACGUGAGCGUUAGACGCAAGCGUCGUAGCCUUGUAUGAGUUUCUAUUUUUCUAAGUUGUUCAUAAAAUUCAUACAAGGAGUCUGACGAGUGUAAAUGCAUACACGUAUAUGUUUAUAUAUAGUUUAGCUUAAGAGGCUCUAUUUGUGAAAAUAUUGGUACGGUGAAAUGAUGAUGAAAAUCAUUAAUGCCUGAUUAAUGGCCGAAAUUAAUAUAAUACCAUAAUCAUAUAAUAAUUCAAAAAUAUAAAUGUUGAUAAAACUACAAGGCACGGACUCCAACAAUAAAAAAAUGGCACGGAUCGACUUCUGUGUCGUUGAUGGGAACCAAGUUUUGCUUGAUCUAACGAUCACAAAUGCACGAGCCCAAAUUCGUCUCUCUCUUUCCUCGCUUUCUUUCGUUUAAAGCUUCUUCCCCACCACAACAAAAACCUCUCUAUUUCUUUCUCCGACCCCUCAAAUCUCUCCCAUCUCUACAAACCCAAAGCUCCACUUUUACAGAUAAACAUGCCAUCUACCACCACCGCAGAUAUACCACUCUCCAAACUCCUGUCCUCCUUUUCUACCCAGAUCUCUCCUCCUCCUCCAGUGUCUACCGCGAGCCCUCUGAUCUCUUCCGUCGCCUCGACCACGUCGAACACCUCCUCGACUCCCUCCUCCUCGUCUCCAACGAUAUCGGCGUCGCUGUUGCGUCAUCUCCCUCGUCUUUGAAUCGAUCUGGGUUCUCCGAUCCCCUGCCCGACUCGUCACCUCCUCCGCCACCUAAUCGGACCUCGUUCAGAGCUCCAAUCCCUCUAUCCUAAACCAGAUCCAUUCUGAUACGCCUCUCCUGAUCUAGAUCCUUUUCUUCUUUUGAUGUUCUUGAUGGGUUGUUGUGAUGUGGUUUGAUGGAUUGGGUUGUAAUGGUGUGGUUUGUGACGGUGGGGUGAGUUUGAUAGAUGGGUGGCGGUGGUUUUUGAUGGAAAGAAUAAUAAUAGAAAAGAAAAGGAAAUUAAAUAGAAAAGGAAGUUAAAUAGAAAAGGAAAAUGAAACCUAAAGAAAAUAUUAAAUUUUUUUUCCAGAAUCAAAACAAUUAAAUUUCCGUUGACUAGUAUUCGUCACUCUAGUACUUAGACCACGAUAUAAAGUUUGUUAUUGUAGUUCUAUGGUGUCGAAACGAUUCGUCAUGUUAGCUAGUCAACUUUUGUUGGCUUAAUCCCAUUGAGACGAAAAGAGUUUCGUUGUCUUAACACCUACUUAGAUGAUGAAACACCUUUUUUGUCACGCCUCGGUUCUUAAGUUAUUUUACGGUUAUUUACUUUGGUAUUAUUUUUUGGUCUUUUACGGUGUUAAGUAACCGGUUACCCCUUAAGGACUCUAAAGUUGACUUUCUUUUCUGUUUGGAAUUUGGGGAAACUUUCUUCAUGAAAGUUGUAGAGGACGUUAAUACGAGUUCGUAGACAUGCUAUAUGUUAAAAUCGGAGUUAGCAUGAAAAAGUUAUUAUUAAAAGAGUAAAUUUUGAGUUGGAGAAAGGGGGUAAUUAUUAAUGGGUAUUAUUUUUUGGUUGGGUUUAUAGCUGGGCCGGCUGUGGAGCAGCCCAAAACCCUCCCCCCUCAUUUCCUCUCUCUCCCUCUCUCCCUCACCCGUCACUUUCUCUCCCUCCCUCACCCGUGCAACUUGACCCGCCGGAGAAGAGCCUCUGUCCGCUGCCGUCCGGUCGCCAGGGACCGCCGGACCACCUUUUCCCAGACCCCCCGCCACCUCCUCUCCCUCCCCGGCCUAACCCCCGAGCCGUUAGCCCGCCGGAAGAGGAGAAAACCCGCCGGAGACGCCGGGAAGCUUUUCGCCGAAAAUCAAACCUCCGGCCGCCAGUUGUCGAAAUCUUUGGCUCAUCUUGUAGCCCUCAUCAAGGUGAGUAAUCCCUCAAAAGGAAUUAGUCUAUCUCGUUGUGGUUAUAGAGAAAUGUAUAAUUGAAGUUUUAGUUAGCCUUAGAAAUAGACUAAGUGCUAGUUAUGAAUGUUAUUGAGCAUGAUGAGAGGAAUAUUCUGUGAAAAAUAACCAAAAUACCCUUUUGAAGUCGGCGUACAGAGGCAUAGUCUUGAAGAUGUAGACAUUUAUGGCACAAUAAGGUCCAUAAAUAAGAUAAGAACAACUACCUAAUAUACCUAAUAAACACCUAGCAUCUUAUGCAUAUAAUGCUAAUGGAUCCGCCGCGGUCAGACCAUCAUUCUAUAGACACCAAGUAUCACCAAAUAUAUGAGGUAGUGAUAGGAACCGGAUAACCUAACGCUCUGAUACCAACUGACAGGACCCACCCCGAAUUUCACCCUAAAACCCGAGGUAAUUCCUGCGGGGUCCACCUCCAAGGAAAAUUUACCGAACAUUCGGCAUAAUCUACCUUGAAAAUGGACAACCCUUACCUGAAAAAUCCAACUUAACACUUCUAUAAACCAAUAUCCAUCCUCAACACCUGGAACCUUCCUGCUCCCCAAGUUCAACACAUCUCCCAAUAUAACAAUUACUCAACUAAACUAAUCCCACAACCGACAAUAGCCAACAUUAAUUCAUUAACUGAUUAUCAGAGCAGAUCUAAAGUUAAACGAAAAACAAUGACAAAAGAAUAAGCGAAAGCAACUUCUGACUAUGCCUCGACUCCAUGAACGCUCGACCUCAAAUAACUUAGCCUGCAACCUGGGCGUUUAAAACCAGAGGGCCCAGGGGAAAGUAAUUUAAAACGUUAGAGUGAGUGGACGAAAAGUAAUCAAGUAACCGAUCGCAAUGUAACUAACCAAACUUAAUUACUUUCCCAUUUUCCAAUAAUCAAGAAAUAUGUUGCAUGCAAGUGUUGAUAAAACUUUCAUAAAGAAAAUCUCAAGGAAACGGACUAGCCUCGCUAGUCAAAAUAUUGACAAAGAUAACUAACCUUCAUUGAAGAAAAUACCAAAAUAAUGGACUAGCCCCGCUAGUCAAGACAACAAUAAGGAUUCAUAAAGACCUUGUAAAAAGGGAAAUAUCAAAAAGAUGGACUAGCCCCGCUAGUCACAACAACAACAACAUCAAAUAAGAAACAGAUGUAGCCAUACAGGUGAGCCUCCCAGACUCGGUUGCCUCCUAGGCAAAGUACUCCCAUACUCCCUACACCUUCACGUUAUGAUAACAGAGAGGGUGUAGGGCUUGCGUGAUGUCGUCGACUACAUCACAUCACCUGAAGGCGGAAAGGGCUUGAGUAACCCCACUUAAAACGUGGAAGUUACAUCGCCUUGAAAGGCUAGCAUGAAUAUUAACGAUCUAACAAGUAUGGCAUAAAUAAAGAAAUACAAAUCCAUGUGAGUUUCCCCAAAACUCAUAAUUAAAGCAUAAGUACAAUUCCCAACCGCACUCAAAGAAUUCAAAGAGCAAAGAAAUUAAUUAAAUUCAACGACGUGUCCCACACGUUAAAAUGCUCAAUGAAAUAAAUAACUUCAAUAAUUAUCAUCUUUCAAAAACCAAACAAUAUGAAAAUCAGUACGAAAUCUCAAAUCUCUAAUUAUCAAUCCAAGCUCAAAUCCAUAAAUUAUAACCCACAUUUAAUCCAUGUAUCAAUCUCAAACAAUUUUCAAGAUCAUUUCACAUGCCGAAGUCAUAAUAUAUGCUCAGAAAAUAAAAUACUAAAUUAUAAAAUCUUGCAUGCAUAUUAUUUAAAACCCAAAAUGUCCACUCACAGAUUUUGGCCUAAGCCUGACAAAUUCUGAAUCACCACUCAAGUGGGGUCUCCUCGAAUCCUGGCACAACAACCAUGCUUAGGACCAAACUUCAAUUCCGGAAAAUAAAUACGUGAAUAAAAACAUCUAACUCUCUUCUAUUUAACCCACUACUGUUAUUAGGGUUAAACUCAUCGGAUUCACAUCAAACUCCAUCACAACCUUAAAUCAUCAAUUCUAACAUUCUAGGCUAAAUACCAAGGAAAUUCAACGGCCGGAUUUUUAUUCUAACAACCGGCAAAAUCUUUAAUCUUUGAAAAAAAAAUCUCAAACCUUAUCAAAACUCUUCCAAAAAUUCCAAACUUUACUUCCUUAAACUUCUCUCAUUAAAACAAACCCAAAAUCAUGAAAAUUGCCCCUAACGGCGGCGGCGCCGGCUACCCCGCCGCCGCCGGCGGCCGGUAGCCGGAUUCCGGCGAACUCCAAUGCUUCUUAAAUUUUAACAGAAUAAUCCUCUCAUCAUGCAUAACAACUUUCAUAACUAGCACUUAGUCCAAUUCUAGGGCUAACUAGGGUAAUUGAGCCAAAACUUCCAUAAAUCCCUAAAACUUCUAAUUAUACAUUUCACCCUAAUAAGAUCGAAUUAGACCUAUUCCUUUUGAGGGGUUACUUACCUUGAUGAGAGCUACAAGAUGAGCCAAAAAUUCCGACCUAUGGCGGCUGGAGAAGGGAACUCCGGCGAAAAGCUUCCCGACGUCUCCGGCGGGUUUUCUCCUCUCCUGUGGGGCUACCGGCUCGGACACUAGGCCGGGGAGAGAGAGGAGGUGAUGAGGGUCUGAACUAGGGUGGUGUGGUGGCUGGUGGUUGGCCGGACGGUGGCAGCUGACUUCCGGCGGAGAGGGGCUCAGGGGAAACUCACGGGAAAAAGAGAGAGAAGGAAGAGGGAGAGAGAGGAAAUAAAGGGAGGGGUUUUGGGCUGCUCCACAGCCGGCCAGCUAUAAAAACCCAACCAAAAAAAUAAUAUCCAUUAUCAUUUAUCCCCUUUUACCAUCUCAAAAAUUCACUCUCUUAAAUCAUAACUUUUUCAUGCUAACUCUGAUUUUAAAACAUAGCAUGUCUACGAACUCGAAAUAACGUUCCCUACGACUUUCAUGAAGAAAGUUUCCCCAAAUUCCAAAUGAAAUAGAAAGUCAACUUUAAGGUCCUUAAGUAGUAACGGCUACUCAACACGGAAAAAGACCAAAAUAAUACUAAAUUAAAUAACCGUAAAAUAACUUAAGAACCGGGGUGUGACAUCGUAUGUUUUAGUCACCAUAUUAUAGGGUCGUUUAUCUUGAUUAAUGCUAGCUAACAUUAUUAGCGGUCCUCAUCAUAUGUGAGUCGCUAUUAUAGCCUUAUUAGCGGUCUUCUUCAUAUGUGAGUAGAGCGCUUAGCGUGGGACGCUAUUAUAGCCUAAGAGGCAACCGAUCGGUAUUUAUAUUUAUUAGUUAGCUAGCCUUAUUAGCGGUCCUCAUCAUAUGUGAGUUGAGCACUUAGCGUGGGACGCUAUUAUAGCCUUAUUUAGUGGUCCUCAUCAUAUGUGAGUUGAGCGCUUAGCGUGGGACGCUAUUAUAGCCUUGGAGGCAUCGACCCGAGCCUGGGAGUCUCCUUUUUCAUGGUGAUAACUCUUUCCCUAUUUUAUUCUUUUCAAUAAUAUAUUUGAUUAACCAGCGGGACUGGUUUAUCUCCUCUUAUGAGAUUUCUGUUUUAACUAACCAGCGGGGCUGGUCUGUCCUUUAUUAACUGAUUUUGGAUUUAAAGUUUUAAGGACGUUUAAGUUGCAUGCUGUUAAGUUUUAAAAGUUGAAAAAUGGGAAAGUAUAUAAGUUUUAUAAUUGUUAAGUUAUUGAAUUUAUUUUCGUCCACUCACUCUAACGUUUUUAAAUUACUUUCCCUUGGGCCCUUUGGUUUAUAAAUGCCCAGUUUGCAUGUCAGAUCCCGACCCUUAAAUUUUUACCUUAUUUACUAGCUUAGUUAUAAUAAGAAUUUUAUCGUCUCCGUCAAUAAGUUAUGGUUUAAUUGGUCCCUAGAGGGGUUUUGAGGGACGAUUAUUUCGGAGAAUUAUUCGUAGAAGAAAAAUUUGACGACGGUAAAUAGGGUAAUUUUGAGCUAGUAAAAGGUAAUUUUUAGUGGGUAUUAUUUUUGGAGUUGGGUGUAUGUUUGGUGUGGGUAUUUAUAGAGUUGGCCCGGUUUGGGGAGGCCCAAACCAUUUCUCAUUUUCUCUUAUCUCUUCCCCGGUUUUCCUCCUCUCCCGACCUCUCCCGUUUCCGGUUCUUCUCCAGCUCUUGCCGCCGUCGACCGGCCGAGCCAGGCCGCCGGACCGGUCUUGGUUGGACCCCUGUCCUUCCCUCUUAAGCCUUGAGUAGGUGACAGCCCCUCUCCCGUCGGCAAUUGCAAGUUUCACGACAAGAAGCCGUGGUGGUUCACUCGCCGGAGCUCCCUCCUCCGGCCACCAAAGCCGGUGAUCCAUGGCUCGUUUUGUAGCCCUCCUCCUAUGCAGCAACCCCUCCAAAGGUCUCACUCCCUCUUGAGCUAGGUAAGGAGAAAUUCAAAGUUGAAAUCCUAGGGCUCUUUAGGUGAUUGUGUUCGAUUGCCCUAGUUAAGUUUGGAUUUUGUGUUUGUGCUAGUUAGGAAAGUUGUAGAGGGGGUUGAGAUGAAGAUGCUGUUAAAAUUUGAUGAGCAUUGGAGGUUGCCGGAAUCGGCCUCCGGUCGCCGCCGCCGGUUAGGAGAUUUUAAUGUUUUUAAAUUUGGAAUAUUAAAGGGAGUUUAUUGAAGUGAAUUAUAGAAUUUUUGGAUGAGUUUUGGAUAGGUUUAUGAUUUUCCGAAGUGUGGUAUUUUUGGCGGUUGAAUAAUGUAGAAUCCGGCCGUAGGAUUUAAGCCAUUUUCUGUGGGAAGGUAUAGUUCAGCUGCUGGUUCUAGGGUUGAGGUGUGGACCAUUUCAAAGUUAGGUAAAAAUGAGCGGGUUAAUGGCUCUCGGUUAAUUUUUGCCUAUUUUGUGUAAAUAUUGGAAUUUCGGCUGGGAAAUUAAUAUUAUAUUUGGAACAGGACGUGAGGAGGCUCGAGUAGAAGAGACCUCGGAUUGACAUCAGGCUUAGGCCUAAAGUUGUGAGUGGACUUUUGUUUUAAAAUAUAUGCAUGCGGUGAUUCUAUAUUAAAUGAUUGAUUUUAUUGAAUAUCAAUUUGUGGAAUUGUUUAUUUUCGCGAAGUUAUUUUCAGAAGUAAAUGUUCUCAUUUUUAAUGGCUAUCGUGUUAUAUGGAAAGUUACCGGAAAUGAGAUUUUCGGUGGAGUCGUGUGCAUAUUGUUUUUUUAUGAUAAUUGGCAAUUUUCAUUAUUGUUGGAGAAUAACCGAAAUUGAGAAUUUCGGUGAGUAUAUAUAUAUAUAUAUAUAUAUCCAUAUUUGGAUGAUUAUGAGAAUAAUAUGUGUAUGAAGGAAUGCUAGCUAGCUAUACGUGCUUUUCCACCAUACUGAGGUAAAAUUCCAUUAUGGUGCGACGUGAGCGUUAGACGCAAUCGUCGUAGCCCUAUAUAAAUUAUAUUUAUAUAGGGGAUAUGCGCGUAUAUAUUUAUACACCGUCUUUUCCACUAUAAUGAGGUAAAAUGCCAUUAUGGUGCGACGUGAGCGUUAGACGCAAGCGUCGUAGCCUUGUGUGAAUUUUCUAUUUGUCUUUGUUGUUUCAAGAAAAUUCAUACAAGGGAUAUGACAAGUGUAAUACAUACAUAUUUUAUGUUAGCCUGAGAGGCUGUAUUUUAUUGAGCUUUGGCGACUGGCCGGAGCUAGUCAUGAAAUUGCCAGUUUUCGUGUUGAGUGUUUUUGAGCUGUCCAAUGCAACAUAUUUUCUAUGGAAAUGUAAUUUGGGAAAGCAUAAAUAUUUCCAUUAAAUUUAUUUUUGUCCACUCACUCUAACGUUUGUAAAUGUUUUCCCCUGGGCCCUUCGUUUUAAAAAUGCCCAGCUUGCAGGUUAGCUUAGUUAAGGUCGGGCGUACAUGGAGAUGAGGCAUAGUCAUCAUAUAGCUUCCGCUUGUUAAUUUAUCAUGUUUCCUUUCUUCCUAUUAGUGUUGCUCUGAACCUAUAAAUGGUUGGAUGUGAGAUUUGUGUAGAUAUUUAAAUAAUUGGGAGAUGUUGUGAUUUGGGGGAGCAUGAAGGCUCCAGGAGUUUAAGGUUGGAUUUGGUUUAUCAGAAGUGUAUGCAGGUAUUAUUAGGAAGGGUUGUCCAUUUUUAAGGGAGGUUAUGCCGAUUUUUCGGUAAAUUUUCCUUGGAGGUGGUCCCCGCACGACUUACUUUGGGUUUCAGGGUGAAAUUCGGGGUGGGUCGUGUCAUUGCAGGCUAAGUUAUUUGAGGACGAGCGUACAUGGAGUCGAGGCAUAGUCAGAGGCUGCUUCCGCUUAUUCGUUUUCAUUGUUUUCAUUCAUCAUUAGAUAUGCUCUGAAAGUCCAGUGGUAGCUUAUUAAAUGUCUUUGUUGUUGGUUGUGGAAUUAUUAUUAGAUGAGAAAUUGUUAUUGGGAGUUUUGAUGAAUUUGGGGAGCAGGAAGGCUCUAGGAGAUGAGGAAGGAUGUUUGAUUAUAGAAGUGUUAAGUUGGAUUUUUCAGGAAAGGGUUGUCCAUUUUCAAGGAAGGUUAUGCCGAAUUUUCGAUAAAUUUUCCUUGAAAGUGGACCCCGUAGGAUUUACCUCGGGUUUCAGGGUGAAAUUCAGGGUGGGUCAUGGCAUUUUUUCAUCACCUUAGUACUACAACCACCUAACAAGGCUUAGAUGACGAAUAUUUCGUCACCAUAGCGCUAAGUUGACCACUGGAACGAAUAAGUUUCUUCACUUAAGGGCUUUUUUCUAGUAGUGUGUAUGGCUAGCUUGCAUUUAUAUACAUACUAUUUUUAUAUAAAUAUAUAAAUAUUCACGGAAAAUCUCAUUUUCGGUAAUUCUCUAAAUAUCGAAGUUAACAAAUAAAAUAAGAACAUUACUUUCGAAAAUAACUAUGUGGAAUUAACUCAUGAAAGGAAAUCAAUUUCAUAAAUUAAGAUUCCGUAAAAUAAAAACAUUCAUUUAAUAUAAAACUAUUGCAUGCAUUUAAUUUAAAACAAAGGUCCACUCAUAGUAUUCGUCUUAAGCUUCCCAAUGCUCGAAAUACUCCUCGAGCGUUGCGUCCAAACAUCCAAAUCCUCAAAUCAACCUCACGCUUGACGAUAAGCUGUAAGACAAAUCGGUCAAACCAAACUUCGAAACAACUAUUGCCUCAACCCCUUUCCUAGUUUGACUAGGGUUGACCAGGAUUCACCAAGUUUGACCAAUUGACUUAGGGUUGACUAACUAACGAUGUUUCGACGUUUAACAACUUAACCUUUAACUUAAUGAUUCGAGUCAUUUUCACUAUACGUCCUACUAACCGUUAAACACUUAGGCGUUGCUUAAUAAUUCUAGAAUCACUAAGGACGCCCACAUUUACGCUUAAAAGAUAAUUUUUGUAAUCUUCGAUUUUGAUUAAUCAAACUAAUGUAAUUUCAUUAACGCAAAACAUACAGAACACAUUAAUCUAGAAAACCACUAAAUUACAAAGGGCAGCCAAAAAGGUUUUCAUAAAUGAGAAGUUUCCAUAACGGGAAAGUUUCCCAAAAUAGAAACUUUCCUAACUUAGUAAGUUUUCCGAUUACAACCCGAAUUUUCCCAUUUUGGAACUACAACACAAAUUAGAAAGAAUGUCCUCGAAACUACCUCAUCGGUUCUGCUAGAAAAACUGCAUUCGCCGGAAUAUUCUGCCGGAUUCCGGCCACUCGCCGGAAAAUGGCCAUAGCCUCCCUGUGUUCUCUAAAACACCAAGUUCUCAACAUACAAGCAACCAAAACACCCAAAUUAGCAACAAAACUUCUAUUUCUCAAAACCACAAUCAACAUAGUAUCUUGAAAUUCAGAGUUUACCUUCAAGUUGCCUCAAAUCAAAUUCCUUGAAGCUUUCCUUCGCCGGCAGUAGCUUCCUCACCUGAAUCUGGGUUCAGGUCUCCUCUAACACAGCAGCAGCAGCAACACUCCUUGCUUCCAUACAAACUAAUCUUGGUCUGCAGGAAAUCGAUGAAACUUCAGGAAGAAGAGGAGAGACGCCGAGAAGCCUCGACGGCGUCAACGACAGUGGUUUGCCGGAAAUCCUAAAUUAGGCAAAAAUUGAGGUUUUCAAGUUAGAGCUCGAAUUAAGAAAACAAAGACACAGAAAGGAAGAGUGAAGUAUUAAUAAUAUGUUUAUUAUAAUAAUGUGUUUAUUAUAUAUUAGGAGUUCCAUGGAGCAAUACAAGUAUUAAUAUAUAUAUAUAUACACGAAAAUGAUAUGAAGCGCACGUGCGCAUUGUCCUUAAAGUGCGCACGUCCCUUCGUUCGCCGUCGUCGGCACCGGUGGACGUGCGCUCCACAUCCGGCAUGUAUAUAUA
rnacentral:lncRNA from 1 species